rnacentral:rRNA from 1 species
ACUAAGCGUACACGGUGGAUGCCCUGGCAGUCAGAGGCGAUGAAGGACGUGCUAAUCUGCGAUAAGCGUCGGUAAGGUGAUAUGAACCGUUAUAACCGGCGAUUUCCGAAUGGGGAAACCCAGUGUGUUUCGACACACUAUCAUUAACUGAAUCCAUAGGUUAAUGAGGCGAACCGGGGGAACUGAAACAUCUAAGUACCCCGAGGAAAAGAAAUCAACCGAGAUUCCCCCAGUAGCGGCGAGCGAACGGGGAGGAGCCCAGAGCCUGAAUCAGUGUGUGUGUUAGUGGAAGCGUCUGGAAAGGCGCGCGAUACAGGGUGACAGCCCCGUACACAAAAAUGCACAUGCUGUGAGCUCGAUGAGUAGGGCGGGACACGUGGUAUCCUGUCUGAAUAUGGGGGGACCAUCCUCCAAGGCUAAAUACUCCUGACUGACCGAUAGUGAACCAGUACCGUGAGGGAAAGGCGAAAAGAACCCCGGCGAGGGGAGUGAAAAAGAACCUGAAACCGUGUACGUACAAGCAGUGGGAGCACGCUUAGGCGUGUGACUGCGUACCUUUUGUAUAAUGGGUCAGCGACUUAUAUUCUGUAGCAAGGUUAACCGAAUAGGGGAGCCGAAGGGAAACCGAGUCUUAACUGGGCGUUAAGUUGCAGGGUAUAGACCCGAAACCCGGUGAUCUAGCCAUGGGCAGGUUGAAGGUUGGGUAACACUAACUGGAGGACCGAACCGACUAAUGUUGAAAAAUUAGCGGAUGACUUGUGGCUGGGGGUGAAAGGCCAAUCAAACCGGGAGAUAGCUGGUUCUCCCCGAAAGCUAUUUAGGUAGCGCCUCGUGAAUUCAUCUCCGGGGGUAGAGCACUGUUUCGGCAAGGGGGUCAUCCCGACUUACCAACCCGAUGCAAACUGCGAAUACCGGAGAAUGUUAUCACGGGAGACACACGGCGGGUGCUAACGUCCGUCGUGAAGAGGGAAACAACCCAGACCGCCAGCUAAGGUCCCAAAGUCAUGGUUAAGUGGGAAACGAUGUGGGAAGGCCCAGACAGCCAGGAUGUUGGCUUAGAAGCAGCCAUCAUUUAAAGAAAGCGUAAUAGCUCACUGGUCGAGUCGGCCUGCGCGGAAGAUGUAACGGGGCUAAACCAUGCACCGAAGCUGCGGCAGCGACGCUGAUGCGUUGUUGGGUAGGGGAGCGUUCUGUAAGCCUGUGAAGGUGUGCUGUGAGGCAUGCUGGAGGUAUCAGAAGUGCGAAUGCUGACAUAAGUAACGAUAAAGCGGGUGAAAAGCCCGCUCGCCGGAAGACCAAGGGUUCCUGUCCAACGUUAAUCGGGGCAGGGUGAGUCGACCCCUAAGGCGAGGCCGAAAGGCGUAGUCGAUGGGAAACAGGUUAAUAUUCCUGUACUUGGUGUUACUGCGAAGGGGGGACGGAGAAGGCUAUGUUGGCCGGGCGACGGUUGUCCCGGUUUAAGCGUGUAGGCUGGUUUUCCAGGCAAAUCCGGAAAACUAAGGCUGAGGCGUGAUGACGAGGCACUACGGUGCUGAAGCAACAAAUGCCCUGCUUCCAGGAAAAGCCUCUAAGCAUCAGGUAACAUCAAAUCGUACCCCAAACCGACACAGGUGGUCAGGUAGAGAAUACCAAGGCGCUUGAGAGAACUCGGGUGAAGGAACUAGGCAAAAUGGUGCCGUAACUUCGGGAGAAGGCACGCUGAUAUGUAGGUGAAGUCCCUCGCGGAUGGAGCUGAAAUCAGUCGAAGAUACCAGCUGGCUGCAACUGUUUAUUAAAAACACAGCACUGUGCAAACACGAAAGUGGACGUAUACGGUGUGACGCCUGCCCGGUGCCGGAAGGUUAAUUGAUGGGGUCAGCGCAAGCGAAGCUCUUGAUCGAAGCCCCGGUAAACGGCGGCCGUAACUAUAACGGUCCUAAGGUAGCGAAAUUCCUUGUCGGGUAAGUUCCGACCUGCACGAAUGGCGUAAUGAUGGCCAGGCUGUCUCCACCCGAGACUCAGUGAAAUUGAACUCGCUGUGAAGAUGCAGUGUACCCGCGGCAAGACGGAAAGACCCCGUGAACCUUUACUAUAGCUUGACACUGAACAUUGAGCCUUGAUGUGUAGGAUAGGUGGGAGGCUUUGAAGUGUGGACGCCAGUCUGCAUGGAGCCGACCUUGAAAUACCACCCUUUAAUGUUUGAUGUUCUAACGUUGACCCGUAAUCCGGGUUGCGGACAGUGUCUGGUGGGUAGUUUGACUGGGGCGGUCUCCUCCUAAAGAGUAACGGAGGAGCACGAAGGUUGGCUAAUCCUGGUCGGACAUCAGGAGGUUAGUGCAAUGGCAUAAGCCAGCUUGACUGCAAGCGUGACGGCGCGAGCAGGUGCGAAAGCAGGUCAUAGUGAUCCGGUGGUUCUGAAUGGAAGGGCCAUCGCUCAACGGAUAAAAGGUACUCCGGGGAUAACAGGCUGAUACCGCCCAAGAGUUCAUAUCGACGGCGGUGUUUGGCACCUCGAUGUCGGCUCAUCACAUCCUGGGGCUGAAGUAGGUCCCAAGGGUAUGGCUGUUCGCCAUUUAAAGUGGUACGCGAGCUGGGUUUAGAACGUCGUGAGACAGUUCGGUCCCUAUCUGCCGUGGGCGCUGGAGAACUGAGGGGGGCUGCUCCUAGUACGAGAGGACCGGAGUGGACGCAUCACUGGUGUUCGGGUUGUCAUGCCAAUGGCACUGCCCGGUAGCUAAAUGCGGAAGAGAUAAGUGCUGAAAGCAUCUAAGCACGAAACUUGCCCCGAGAUGAGUUCUCCCUGACUCCUUGAGAGUCCUGAAGGAACGUUGAAGACGACGACGUUGAUAGGCCGGAUGUGUAAGCGCAGCGAUGCGUUGAGCUAACCGGUACUAAUGAACCGUGAGGCUUAACC